rnacentral:rRNA from 1 species
UACGUAGGGGGCUAGCGUUGUCCGGAAUCAUUGGGCGUAAAGCGCGUGUAGGCGGUCCGGUAAGUCCGCUGUGAAAGUCCAGGGCUCAACCCUGGAAUGCGGGUGGAUACUGCCGGGCUAGAGUCCGGAAGAGGCGAGUGGAAUUCCUGGUGUAGCGGUGGAAUGCGCAGAUAUCAGGAGGAACACCAAUAGCGAAGGCAGCUCGCUGGGACGGUACUGACGCUGAGACGCGAAAGCGUGGGGAGCGAACAGG